AGUCGCUGGGAGUGAUUCUGCUGUCAUUACUGUCAAGCACUGACCCUGGAUCUGAUGAACUAGUGCUACCCAAGUCCUCGGACAUCCGAGAGCAGUGAGCAUCAGCCUUGUGGAAUGCACUCACAGAAUUGUCCUCUGACGUGGGCAAAGUCCCAAGUCUUUGGAACAACUCAACGUUGUUUGUAAACUCUCCGCUUUGGCCUCCCAGCCCGUGUUGUUUUGUAGCCGUCCUGAUAUUUUUGUCACAAGCGAAGAUUUGCCAGAGGCCUCAGCAACAUUUAAGAGAAAAAAGUGAUGGUGUGAUAAUGGUGGUCAACUUAUUUAACAUGUUUUAUAUUUUAGGCGAAGUAUCUUACCGGUAAACCCAAAUGCUGCUUGAUUCCUCCCCCACUUCAUUUAAGGGACCAGUGAACAUGUUUUUGCCUCAUCCUCAUCUAAGGAGUUGAUUUGUCUUCUGAUAUUCACACUGAAUUGACGGUAUCCAGUUUCUGUUCUUGUUCUGUGCUGGAGAGCCAGGAGUGUGCUCACAGCAAAUGAACAGCGUGGAGCUGAAAGACAUGAAACCACACUUUUUGUUAGGUCGCACUAAGCUCUGACCUCUAUAAAACUCUGGACGUGGCAAUGCUUGAAUUCUCUUUAUGUAUCUCCUUUGGUGCUGAAUGUCCCAGUGGGUAUCAUGGCAGAACUGAAAGCGGACACUGCAAACCUUCUGCCUCCAGAGAGCCCUCCCUUCCCUGGACCUCACAGGCCAUCUGUGGGAAGAACAUGAGAUGGAAUGAGCCAGGCAGUCCUGCCAGGUCCAGUCUUAGCUCUGUUGGCAUCUCAAGGUGGAGGCCAGUGCUUGAACUGGCUGAAUCCAUCCAGUUUCCUAUACCUCUAAUAAGACAUGAUCACAUGUACAUA